GACGAACGCUGGCGGCGUGCCUAAUGAAUGCGAGUCGAACGAGAUGCGGCUGAAGCGAUCCUUCGGGAUCAAUUCGGCCAUCCAUCAAGUGGCAAACGGGUGAGUAACACGUGGGUAACGUGCCUCGGAGACGGGAAUAACAACAGGAAACUGUUGCUAAUACCCGAUAGUCUGGAAGUGGCAUAAGUCACUUCCAGUAAAGGUCAGCCGCUCCGAGAUCGGCCCGCGUCCCAUUAGCUUGUUGGUGAGGUAACGGCCCACCAAGGCGACGAUGGGUAGCUGGUCUGAGAGGACGAUCAGCCACACUGGGACUGAGAUAUGGUCCAGACUCCUACGGGAGUUAGCAUCCGGGAAUCUUGCGCAAUGGGCGAAAGCCUGACGCAGCGACGCCGCGUGGGUGAUGAAGGCCUGCGGGUCGUAAAGCCCUGUCAAGAGGGAAGAAUAAAUGACGGUACCUCUAAAGGAAGCCCCGGCUAACUACGUG
rnacentral:rRNA from 1 species